UUGCAAAGCACUCUGAAAAGAGGGUGAAAAGAACCUGAAACCGUUAUGUUGAGAGCGUAUUGCAGCAGAGUGAAGGGUGCGUUUUGUUCAGCUUGCGCUUGCGUAGGUGUACUCAGAACGUUAUCCGCCAGUCGUGGGCUUCUGGUGGUCGAUUUAUCGGCUGCUGGGGGUUGAGGGAUCCCCUUUAUGGGUGAGGACGAACUCUGGAUAAUGCUGCGAUUCGACCCGUCUUGAAACACGGACCAAGAAGUCUAGCGUGCAUGCGAGUCAAAGGGUGUCAAAACCUGAGGGCGCAGCGAAAGCAAAACCUAAAAACGUUUCUUAGUUUGAGGCGGCAUACGAUCGUUGAUUGUAGGUCCGACCUUGAGCAUGUAUGCUAGGACCCGAAAGAUGGUGAACUAUGCUUGAGUAGGGUGAAGCCAGGAGAAAUCCUGGUGGAGGCUCGUAGCGGUGCUGACGUGCAAAUCGCUCGUCUAACUUGAGUAUAGGGGCGAAAGACUAAUCGAACCAUCUGGUAGCUGGUUUCCUCCGAAGUUUCUCUCAGGAUAGCGGACCGAUAUGAUGUUGUUGUGUGC
rnacentral:rRNA from 1 species